rnacentral:rRNA from 1 species
UACGUAGGGGGCUAGCGUUGUCCGGAAUCAUUGGGCGUAAAGCGCGUGUAGGCGGUCCGGUAAGUCCGCUGUGAAAGUCGAGGGCUCAACCCUCGAAUGCCGGUGGAUACUAUCGGGCUUGAGUACGGGAGAGGCGAGUGGAAUUCCUGGUGUAGCGGUGAAAUGCGCAGAUAUCAGGAGGAACACCGAUUGCGAAGGCAGCUCGCUGGAACGUUACUGACGCUGAGACGCGAAAGCGUGGGGAGCAAACAGG